UACGUAGGAGGCGAGCGUUGUCCGGAUUUACUGGGCGUAAAGCGCGUGUAGGCGGUCCGGUAAGUCCGCUGUGAAAGUCGGGGGCUCAACCCUCGGAUGCCGGUGGAUACUGUCGGGCUUGAGUACGGAAGAGGCGAGUGGAAUUCCUGGUGUAGCGGUGAAAUGCGCAGAUAUCAGGAGGAACACCAAUUGCGAAGGCAGCUCGCUGGGACGUUACUGACGCUGAGACGCGAAAGCGUGGGGAGCAAACAGG
rnacentral:rRNA from 1 species